rnacentral:rRNA from 1 species
UACGUAGGGCGCAAGCGUUAUCCGGAAUUAUUGGGCGUAAAGAGCUCGUAGGCGGUGUGUCGCGUCUGCCGUGAAAGUCCGGGGCUCAACUCCGGAUCUGCGGUGGGUACGGGCAGACUAGAGUGAUGUAGGGGAGACUGGAAUUCCUGGUGUAGCGGUGAAAUGCGCAGAUAUCAGGAGGAACACCGAUGGCGAAGGCAGGUCUCUGGGCAUUAACUGACGCUGAGGAGCGAAAGCAUGGGGAGCGAACAGG